UGUAUUCACUACUGUAAGUCGCUCUGGAUAAGAACAUCUGCUAAAUGACUAAAA
rfam:Salmo salar isolate Sally breed double haploid chromosome ssa15, whole genome shotgun sequence.